UGGGCAAACUAUAAAUAAUAUUUUUUACUACAAUAUACAUAUACUUAUAAUUUUUAUAUUUUAUUUGUUACAAAAGAAUGUUUUGUAAUUACAUCGUAUCAAGAGUACCUACAUUAAUCAAAUUUUUAUUCGUGAAUGCCUUAUAUCAUCGAAAACUUAAUACAAGAUAUCCUUUAAUGAGAAUGUAAGUAUACAUAACUUAGGUGAUAAAUGACAAAUGUUGGUAAAAGAAGAUGUAAAACCAGUUAAUUUUGUUUCAAUAAGAAUUCAAAAUAUGGGAGGAAAUGUUCAUUAUGUGGCUGAGAAAAGACUUACAAGAGAUGGCUAAGAAAUUGAUUCAAAAGUAAAUUGAGCAUAGAAAGUAAAGCAUUAAAAAGACCAGAGGAUCAAGGGAAUGAAUGCAUGGAAACUGGAGAUAUAAAAUAUAAGAAAAAUCCUUAAACAUUCCAAAUAUAACAAAUUCAUCUACCAAAGAUACUUAACAAAUUACUUUUAAUAACAAAUAUUGAAGGAAAUGUACAACAAGAAUUAAAUUUAAAAUAAGGAGAUGUUUUGUUUUUAACUUGUGGAGAAAAGAUUCGCAUGGUUAGAGAAUUACAUUAUGAUUUGGUUAUGAAUGGUUUUGAGACUGCAGGAGGACCAGAAGUAACAAAUCAAAAUUACAAAUAGAAAUAUCUUAAAUGCUAAAUAUAGAUGAAUUAUUUAGAAUCUGUUAUUCCACUUCAUGGUGGAAUUGCUAUCUGUAUUUUAUUUUUAAUUCAAAUAUCAGCAAUAUCGAGUAACAUUGAAUUAUAGUAAAAAGAUAUUAAGAAACUUCUCAAGAUUGAAUUGUUUAAUAUGUUUAAUCCACAAUACCAAAACUAUAAAAAACAAUGAAGCAAGAUUUAAUAUCAAGAGUACUUUUGAGGAAAUAAAAAGAUUUUGUCAUA